GUCGAGAAUAAUUCACAAUGGGGGAAACCCUGAUGGUGCAACGCCGCGUGGAGGAUGAAGGUCUUCGGAUUGUAAACUCCUGUCAUCUGGGAGUAAGACCUGACGGUGAAUAGCCGGCAGGGUUGAUAGUACCAGAAGAGGAAGGGACGGCUAACUUCGUGCCAGCAGCCGCGGUAAUACGAAGGUCCCAAGCGUUGUUCGGAAUCACUGGGCGUAAAGGGAGCGUAGGCGGCGUGGUAAGUCAGAUGUGAAAUCCCGGGGCUCAACCCCGGAACUGCAUCCGAUACUGCCAUGCUUGAGGGGUGGAGAGGUAGCUGGAAUUCUCGGUGUAGCAGUGAAAUGCGUGGAUAUCGAGAGGAACACUCGUGGCGAAGGCGAGCUACUGGACAACAUCUGACGCUGAGGCUCGAAGGCCAGGGGAGCAAAAGGGAUUAGAAACCCGGGUAGUCC
rnacentral:rRNA from 1 species